GCGGAUCCGCGGCCGCUGCAGAGUUUGAUCCUGGCUCAGGACGAACGCUGGCGGCAUGCCUAACACAUGCAAGUCGAACGGUUCGGUGCUGAACUUUUAGUUGAGUGCCGGGCAGUGGCGGACGGGUGAGUAACACGUGGAUAAUCUGCCUAUGACCCUGGGAUAACACCGAGAAAUUGGUGCUAAUACCGGAUAACUUCCUUUAUGCGCAUGCAAAGGGGAAGAGAGGAGAGAACCGGUCAUAGAUGAGUCCGCGGCUGAUUAGCUAGUUGGUGGGGUAACGGCCCACCAAGGCGACGAUCAGUAGCCGGCCUGAGAGGGUGGACGGCCACACUGGGACUGAGACACGGCCCAGACUCCUACGGGAGGCAGCAGUGGGGAAUCUUCCGCAAUGGGCGAAAGCUGACGGAGCAAUGCCGCGUGGGUGAAGAAGGCCUUCGGGUUGUAAAGCCCUGUCUUAUGGGAAGAAGAGAGUGACGGUACCAUAGGAGGAAGCCACGGCUAACUACGUGCCAGCAGCCGCGGUAAUACGUAGGUGGCGAGCGUUGUCCGGAAUCACUGGGCGUAAAGGGCGCGCAGGCGGUUUACUAAGUCAGUUGUGAAAUAUCCGGGCUUAACCUGGAGGGUGCGACUGAUACUGGCAGACUUGAGUGCAGGAGAGGGCAGUGGAAUUUCUAGUGUAGCGGUGAAAUGCGUAGAUAUUAGGAGGAACACCAGUGGCGAAGGGGGGCUGCCUGGCCUCUAACUGACGUUGAGC
rnacentral:rRNA from 1 species